CAUGCCUUACACAUGCAAGUCGAACGGUAACAGGUUAAGCUGACGAGUGGCGAACGGGUGAGUAAUAUAUCGGAACGUGCCCAGUUGUGGGGGAUAACUACCCGAAAGAGUGGCUAAUACCGCAUGAGACCUGAGGGUGAAAGCGGGGGAUCGCAAGACCUCGCGCAAUUGGAGCGGCCGAUAUCAGAUUAGCUAGUUGGCGGGGUAAAAGCCCACCAAGGCGACGAUCUGUAGCUGGUCUGAGAGGACGACCAGCCACACUGGGGCUGAGACACGGCCCAGACUCCUACGGGAGGCAGCAGUGGGGAAUUUUGGACAAUGGACGCAAGUCUGAUCCAGCCAUGCCGCGUGCGGGAAGAAGGCCUUCGGGUUGUAAACCGCUUUUGUCAGGGAAGAAACGGGUUUCUCUAAUACAGAGACCUAAUGACGGUACCUGAAGAAUAAGCACCGGCUAACUCCGUGCCAGCAGCCGCGGUAAUACGGAGGGUGCGAGCGUUAAUCGGAAUUACUGGGCGUAAAGCGUGCGUAGGCGGUUCGUUAAGUCAGAUGUGAAAGCCCUGGGCUCAACCUGGGAACUGCAUUUGAAACUGGCGGACUAGAGUUUAGUAGAGGGGAGUGGAAUUUCAGUGUAGCGGUGAAAUGCGUAGAUAUCUGAAGGAACACCAGUGGCGAAAGCGACUCCCUGGACUAGAACUGACGCUGAGGUACGAAAGCGUGGGUAGCAACAGGAUUAGAUACCCUGGUAGUCCACGCC
rnacentral:rRNA from 1 species